AACCAUUCUUUAGAUUAGGAAAGUUGGAAAGUUGUUGAAGCUUCCAGAAUACUAAUCAACCAACAAUGCUGCUACUUCUAUAGGAAAGGCGUCGACUUGUUCUCCUUGGCAUCACAAUCUUCUUCAAUGACCAACGAUCAACGAAGGUGCUGCUGUGAUGGUGUUAGUGUCGCCUUACCAAUACAAAUCGACCAUUCUCAUUUGACCAACGAUGUUGAUGCUGAUAUGGUGUCGCCUUGUGAACCUCUUGUUGCCUUUUCAUCUUUAUCUCCGCAGCUCCUCUGUCCACCACUGCUGAGAUUCACCAAUCACGAUUAUCUUCUUCUCAGCCACCUAAGGACCUAUUUUGGAUCUGAUUUAGCUGUUGUUUGAGUAUUUAGCAAAGGAAAUCACUUCCAACAACAAGUAUCAUCAUCUCCUUAAAACAUCCCCAAAUCAAUUAUUCCCAACCAAUUUGCACUUUAUUGGUCGAGAUAGCUGCUUAUCGUGGGCCAACUCUUUGAUUUCUUGUAUUGGACUGUUAUCUCUUCUAUCAGAUUUGUCAUGGUGGGUAGCUGGCACCAUAUUUUUAUUCUCCUGGCAGUGGAAUAACUUAUAAACCCAUUCAUUAUUAGAUAUCUCCCCUUCCCCCUUCCUUGAUUCUUUAAAAAUCUGAGAAGAAUAUGAUGUACUAAUAUAAUUAAAGAAUUGAUUUCUUUCAUCCUUCA